GACGAACGCUGGCGGCGUGCUUAACACAUGCAAGUCGAACGGAAAGGCCCUGCUUGUGUGGGGUGCUCGAGUGGCGAACGGGUGAGUAACACGUGAGUAACCUGCCCUUGACUUUGGGACAACUUCAGGAAACUGGGGCUAAUACCGGAGAGGAGCUCCUGCUGCAGGGUGGGGGUCGGAAAGUUUCGGCGGUUGGGGAUGGACUCGCGGCUUAUCAGCUUGUUGGUGGGGUAGUGGCUUACCAAGGCUUCGACUGGUAGCCGGCCUGAGAGGGUGACCGGCCACCUUGGGACUGCGAUACGGCCCAGUCUCCUACGGGAGGCAGCAGUGGGGAAUAUUGCACAAUGGGCGGAAGUCUGAUGCGGCAGCGCCGCGUGCGGGAUGACGGCCUUCGGGUUGUAAACCGCUUUCGCCUGUGACGAAGCGUUAGUGACGGUAAUGGGUAAAGAAGCACCGGCUAACUACGUG
rnacentral:rRNA from 1 species